CGCGCAGGCGGUCGGAUCAGUCGAAUGUGAAAGCCCCCGGCUCAACUGGGGAGGGUCAUUCGAUACUGUCCGACUCGAAGGCAGGAGAGGGAAGCGGAAUUCCCGGUGUAGUGGUGAAAUGCGUAGAUAUCGGGAGGAACACCAGUGGCGAAGGCGGCUUUCUGGCCUGUUCUUGACGCUGAGGCGCGAAAGCUAGGGGAGCGAACGGGAUUAGAUACCCCGGUAGUCCUAGCCGUAAACGAUGGACACUAGGUGUUGGUGGUAUCAACCCCACCAGUGCCGUAGCUAACGCAUUAAGUGUCCCGCCUGGGGAGUACGGCCGCAAGGCUAAA
rnacentral:rRNA from 1 species